CCCGCCCGCGUGGUAGCGCUUUCCCGGUUUCGAAGUAGUGGCUGACGGUGCUGCCAGGGGAGAGCCAGGCGUGGAACGGCCACAGCUGUCGGAGAGCCGCCAGGAAGGAAGCCGAGGAAUAUCAUUUUCAUAGAAUGAAUUUCAGUGAUAAAGUGAAGAGUUGUUUAAGGCAACGCCAGUGGGGAAGAACGUGGGGUCGUCCAUGUGCCACACUCCCCACUCCACAAGGCCCAUGGAAGUUGUACAGAGGAUCCAUCCUAUGGUGGCAAUAACGAAACCAAACACGUGGUGAUUGGCGCCAUUGAUGACCUGGGUCAUGGUGGCAGCGUGCCCAACGUAACUGCAACAACACAAGACAUGUUGGUUCCAUGGAUUGGUUAUUAUGAAUAAUGCUGCAAUGAACAUUAGCAUAUAAAACUUUGUGGAUAUAUGGUCCUGUUUCUCUUGUGGAAUACCUAGGUGUGGAGUUGGUGCUUCACAUGGUUAAAGACUAUUACUUUUUUACUUGGCAAAAAGGAUGUCGCAUACAGAGAUACAAGCAGAGAAAUGUACUUGUUAGUGACUAUCAAGAGCAAUAAAAACAUGGGUGUCUUCCAACCCAAUCUCCCACCCCUUGGAAUCAAUUCUAGGGGACAAAUCAGACAGUGUGAUCAAAGCGCCUGGGCAAUGAUGAUCACAAGCAGUGUGAUUGAUACUAGGGGUAAGAGAAAUUGGAGACUAGUAAUAUGUGGAUCAAUAUGGAUGCUUAAGUAAAUUUCCUAAUUCCACGAGACAGAACAUAUUUUCAACCAUUUACAAUGAAUUCUUUUAAAACAUUGUAAUGACAGGAAAUCCUCACUGUAUGUUCAGAGGGGAAAUGGGUGCAAAAGAAUGUAUAACAUGUAUGUCAUUAUGUUCUGAAGUGUAUGUGUGUGUGUGUGUGUCUGUAAGUGUCUGACCCCAGAUUUCUUUUUAAAAGACAACUACGUGUAUAUGCAUAAAAGUUUGUAAGGCAGUACUUUGGAAUGUCAUCUCUGGGUGGAAAAACUCAUUUUCUGCUAGGUAUGGUGGCAUGCCCAGAGAGAGCCCUGGCCCCAGUUCUGGCUUUCCUGAAUGCCGUGUACUUUCUCAUCUCUGCCUCUUCCCCUCCUCAAGUGAAAGCUUCCUUCUGGUCUCUGUCAUCAUUGUUAGUACCUCUGCAGCUUGCCUUUGAGCUAAUCUCCACUCCUAAUCACUGUCACCCCAAUCAGAUGAAGAACCCACCAGGUGAGAAACCCAGGCCAGUAUGGACGUUUGUGGAUUGACUGACCCAGGUGAGGAGUCCUCAUAGUCCAAAGCCUUAUAUUCCCGGGUGCCGCAAACGCACCAGUCCGAAGGUUCUAUUUCCAGCUACAUCCUAUCUGCCCUCAUGCCAUUGAGGUUGACUUUGGUAGGCCAGCCAAUUGCAAGGUUUUAACAACUCAACCUAGAAUUUUCACUUGAGAGGUGAGGCUGAUCUUGAUUUUUACCUUU